UGAACGCUAGCGGCAGGCUUAACACAUGCAAGUCGAGGGGCAGCACGGGUAGCAAUACCUGGUGGCGACCGGCGCAAGGGUGCGUAACGCGUGAGCAACAUGCCCUAUACAGGGGGAUAAUCCAGGGAAACUUGGUCUAAUAUCCCAUAGUAUUUAGAGGAGGCAUCUUCUAUAAAUUAAAGCUUCGGUGGUAUAGGAUUGGCUCGCGUGACAUUAGCUAGAUGGUGGGGUAACGGCUCACCAUGGCUAUGAUGUCUAGGGGUUCUGAGAGGAAGACCCCCCACACUGGGACUGAGACACGGCCCAGACUCCUACGGGAGGCAGCAGUGAGGAAUAUUGGACAAUGGAUGGAAAUCUGAUCCAGCCAUGCCGCGUGCAGGAAGACGGCCCUAUGGGUUGUAAACUGCUUUUAUAUGGGAGCAAUAAGGUCUACGAGUAGACCGAUGAGAGUACCAUAUGAAUAAGCAUCGGCUAACUCCGUG
rnacentral:rRNA from 1 species